rnacentral:rRNA from 1 species
AGAGUUUGAUCCUGGCUCAGAACGAACGCUGGCGGCAUGCCUAACACAUGCAAGUCGAACGUGAUCCGGGCUUCGGCCUGGUGAAAGUGGCAGACGGGUGAGUAACGCGUGGGAACCUGCCCUGUGGUAGGGAAUAACCGUGGGAAACUGCGGCUAAUACCCUAUGAGUCCUUCGGGAGAAAGAUUUAUCGCCAUAGGAGGGGCCCGCGUCGGAUUAGGUAGUUGGUGGGGUAACGGCCUACCAAGCCUUCGAUCCGUAGCUGGUCUGAGAGGAUGAUCAGCCACACUGGGACUGAGAUACGGCCCAGACUCCUACGGGAGGCAGCAGUGGGGAAUAUUGGACAAUGGGGGCAACCCUGAUCCAGCAAUGCCGCGUGGAUGAUGAAGGCCUUCGGGUUGUAAAGUCCUUUCGGCGGGGAAGAUGAUGACGGUACCCGCAGAAGAAGCCCCGGCUAACUUCGUGCCAGCAGCCGCGGUAAUACGAAGGGGGCUAGCGUUGUUCGGAAUUACUGGGCGUAAAGGGCGCGUAGGCUGUGCUGUAAGUCAGGCGUGAAAGCCCCGGGCUCAACCUGGGAGUUGCGCUUGAUACUGCGGCGCUGGAAGGUGGGAGAGGAUGGCGGAAUUCCCAGUGUAGAGGUGAAAUUCGUAGAUAUUGGGAAGAACACCGGUGGCGAAGGCGGCCAUCUGGCCCACAUUUGACGCUGAGGCGCGAAAGCGUGGGGAGCAAACAGGAUUAGAUACCCUAGUAGUCC